GUAUAAGUGAAAGUAGAAGUAAAAUAGGUAUAACUACACACAAGGUCAAUGCAGCAGCAGACAACUAGUAGAUUUAGUUGUCUGUAGGAAAUGACAACACAUUUACAGUCUAGUAGAUUUAGUUGUCUAUAGGAAAUGACAACACAUUUACAGUCUAGUUUGAUUUGUUUCCUAAUAUCCUUUCAGGUUGUAUUACAAUCAUCCAGUGAUCCACAUAACAUUAGGAUGAACCCUGCUAUUCUCCACUCAGGCGGAGAGAGAAAGAUGAUUAAACGAUAAGAUCCUGCAUUUUGGGAAUGUAGGAAAAACAUGUCAAAUGAACAUUCA